rnacentral:tRNA from 1 species
AGGGAUGUAAUUCAGUGGUAGAACAUGUGCUUAGCAUGCAUAAAGCCCUGGGUUCAGUCUCCAGCACCACGA